CGUUCGUCAGCGCUCCGCCUCCACUGCAGAGCCCGAGGUACGCUGCUGGACACGCAGAGCCCAGCGGGGCCAGACUGCGGCGGGACUGCGGAGAGCCGGGACCGCGCUCGGCUCUGGAUUCUUUCUUACAUCGUGCACAUCUCUCCUCCUUCAUGAAAUUCCUGUGGAAGAAAAUGGAUUUCCUGAGUGUGCUUGUUCUCGUCUUCUCGGUAGUGACUGUGAGCAGAGCCCAGGUGCAGCAGGAGCCGUCGGCAGAGACCAGCGAGGGCAUCGAAAUCAACAUCACCUGCUCACUCCCCAAUAUACUGUCCAAUGACUACAUCCACUGGUACCGCCAGCUCCCGGGCCGAGGACCCGCAUUCCUCGUCAGUGCCUUGAAGGGCUCCAAGGAGGUUCCGGACCCGGAGGGCCGGCUGUGGGUGUCGGCAGACCGCCGCUCCAGCGCCCUGUGGCUCGCCCGGCCCCGGCUCGGCGACGCGGCGGUGUAUUACUGCGCCGUGGGCACACGGGAAGCGAAGCCGGGGCUGCGGCCGGGCACGAACCGCUUAGGGCGGGUCGGGGGCGCAGUGCCGUCCGGGCCCGCAGGGGGCGCUGCCUGCAUGGCCGCCAAACUCCAUCCUGACCAGGGUGCACCUCCCUGAGUUCUCGACAGAAAUGAGCACUGCACCCGUGAUUCACUAAGCCCAAAUUGAAUCAGACGCAGCUGGGUCUGUUGUAAGACAGCUCGCCAUGUAUUUGUGGGGAACAGCAGACUGACACCACGGGAUGUGUUUGACACCUGAGGGACGUUCUCACAACUCUAUUCCAUCUUCUCUCCUCCUUCCCCAACGCAGCACAUAUGUGUAGCAGGAAGGAGACGGGACUAAAACCAGAACAUCAGCAAUGUGCUAAGUGAGAAAACAAAUUUAAGAAAUAUCGUAGUGGAAUGCAAGAAAACACAGUAUAAUACAUUAUCGUUGGAAUCCUCAGUGAAGUGAAUAAAUCAAAGAAAUGAACUAGAGUGUCCAAAAACCAAAGGCCUUGCUCUAAACGUGAAGGGAAGAUGGCUAGGGUGCACACACCAUGGUGAUGAUUGGAAAGAUAACAUCCCAGAACUCUUUAAGUCCCAGUGCACUGCAUGAAGUUACGAUGAAGAAUGCCAAUAACAAAAAUCAUAAAACCCUGACACCAGUGAGGUGAGGUGGGCUGGACUGCUGGGUUUCAUUUCUCUUCCUCAUCCUGCUACCCUAUGAAUAAAUUGUUGAUCUCCUUGGACUCCUCUCCCUCGGCUGUCCCUGCACAUCUGCAAACUGUGCUGGCAGCUCAUCAGGAGCCCUUAUCUGCUCAGAGCACUGCAGCCUUGCCCUGCCACAAAGGUCACCA